UGAGAAAAAAAACAAAUGUUCAGUGUAUAUAUAAAAUUGAAGAGUAAAGUGAAGGGUAAAUUCUUGUGUUGUUGAACAAUAUUCAGAGACAAAAAGAAUCAGCAGAAACAUUGUAUUGGCACAACUUGCUACAUAAUGGAAUAAAUGUUCUCAAAGAAAAAACUAGUUUCACAAGUGGGCAGAUAUUUGUUGGCUCUCUUUGCAUUUGUAAUUCUAUCCACUUGUACAUCUGUUCAUCCAUGUCUCUGUGCACCUGUAACAAUUUAAUUUAUGUUAAUUGUUGGAAAAGAACGUAGGCUUAUGGGCUGCAUCCAUGUAUCAAGUGCGAAGAAAAAAAGAUUACUCGUAAUAUCAGCGAAAGUAGGCUUAUGUACCACUAUUGUAUUUCCAAGGAAAAUAUGUUCCUCAUGAGAUUAAUUUGAAUAUGCGGAAUCGCUGAAGAAUAGGAAGAAAUUAAAUAAAGUUAGGCCACAAAAUCAUAUCUAACAACCCUCUAUUGCUGUAAAAUGUUGAAUAAGAUUAAUGUGUACAUGUUCAUGCAG
rnacentral:lncRNA from 1 species